AAAAAAAAAAAAAAAAAAAAAAAAAAAAUACAGUGUUUUGUACAUAAUCUAGGGAAAACAUUAAUGUUUUCAAAAAUUUUCCAAUAUUUGAGGCACCAAACUUUUCUGAUGCACCUUGUAUUUUAUGUUGUUGUUAUUAUAUUCAAUAAUGUGUGUUGCUAUGUUUAUAUGUUCAAAAGAUUAAUAACAAUUAAAGUAAGGAUAAAAUACAGAUCAUAUAUGUGCAUAAUAUUGUGUUCCAUGAGGUAUGCAUUUAAAAGUGGAAAAUAAACAUAACAUUGAAAUUAAUUAAUUUUAAUUAGAUUGCUGUCUUUGUUUAUUGUCUCUAUAGUGUAUGUCCAUUCUGGAAGUAGCUCCAUAGCCAGUCUGCCAUUUAGGUUUUUUCAUUUGUUUGUCUCUUUAUGAUUUCUAUGUCUGCUGUCAAGGCCUGUGUCUUUGCAUUGAUGGGCUUUAUGCUUCUCACAUUGUUCCAAUUUAUGUAUAAGUUAUUGGCAUAGAUCUCCAUUGAUAGUGCUGUAGAAAGCUUCCUUUUAGCUAUGUCCUGUUUGUGUUCUUCCAUCCUCUGGGAGAGAGUUUGAGUGGUUUCUUCUAUUCAUGAUGCUGAUUGAUGUCUUUAUGUCCUCCACUGGAAUUUUGUAGACAUCUUGUUUUUCUAAAUCAUUUAAAAUAUCUUCUUUCAUUUUUUCAUCAGGUUAAAUACAGUUGGCCCUCUCUGUAUCACUAGUCUUUUGUUUCUCUCUGCUAUUUUAGCUACAAUAUUAAAUUUUUUAAAGAUAAUAUGGUGUAGGCAGAUAACUUUCUUGUUGGGGUAUUGUAUGAGUUACCUGUGAAUGGUUAUUACUUAUAUUACUGAAAUUUUUUUGUACUGCCUUUAAUAUACUUCUUAGAAAUGAUUUUUAUAGCCAUGUUGUGUUCUUAUAUCUGUAAUGUAUUCAAUUUUA
rnacentral:lncRNA from 1 species